GACGAACGCUGGCGGCGUGCUUAACACAUGCAAGUCGAACGGAAAGGCCCUGCUUUUGUGGGGUGCUCGAGUGGCGAACGGGUGAGUAACACGUGAGUACCCUGCCACUGACUUUGGGAUAACUUCAGGCAACUGGGGCUAAUACCGGCUAGGAGCUCCUGCUGCAUGGUGGGGGUUGGAAAGUUUCGGCGGUUGGGGAUGGACUCGCGGCUUAUCAGCUUGUUGGUGGGGUAGUGGCUUACCAAGGCUUUGACGGGUAGCCGGCCUGAGAGGGUGACCGGCCACAUUGGGACGGAGAUACGGCCCAGACUCCUACGGGAGGCAGCAGUGGGGAAUAUUGCACAAUGGGCGGAAGCCUGAUGCAGCAACGCCGCGUGCGGGAUGACGGCCUUCGGGUUGUAAACCGCUUUCGCCUGUGACGAAGCGUGAGUGACGGUAAUGGGUAAAGAAGCACCGGCUAACUACGUG
rnacentral:rRNA from 1 species